CCCUUGUAAGAUGAUGAAAUGAUCUCGUAUAUGUUACAAGAUCUUGGGUCUAAAUUUGACCCCCUGGUGACAAGUAUCACCACUCGCGCUGACUCAAUGAUAGUGAGCGAUGUCUAUGCUCAUAUUCUCGACUUUGAAC